ensembl:snRNA U6 spliceosomal RNA
GUACUUGCUUCUACAACACAUAUACUAAAAUUUGAACUAUACAGAGAUUAGCAUGGCCCCAGAACAAGGAUAACACGCAAAUUCUGAAGUGUUCCAUAUUUUU